rnacentral:rRNA from 1 species
AUUGAACGCUGGCGGCAGGCCUAACACAUGCAAGUCGAGCGAGCGGCGGACGGGUGAGUACUGUAAGGGGACUGCCCGAGAGAGGGGGCUAACGACUGGAAACGGUAGCUCAUCACGCGUCCUAUCGGGUAACCCAUAUGGGAUUAGCUAGUAGGUGAGGUAAUGGCUCACCUAGGCGACGAUCCCUAGCUGGUCUGAGAGGAUGAUCAGUCACACUGGAACUGAGACACGGUCCAGACUCCUACGGAGGCAGCAGUGGGGAAUAUUGCACAAUGGGCGCAAGCCUGAUGCAGCCAUGCCGCGUGUAUGAAGAAGGCCCUAGGGUUGUAAAGCACUUUAAGUCGGGAGGCGUUACCGACAGAAGAAGCACCGGCUAACUCCGUGCCAGCCGCCGCGGUAAUUC